rnacentral:rRNA from 1 species
GAUUUACAACGGCCGCGGUAUCCUGACCGUGCAAAGGUACGCUAAUAAUUUGUCUUAUAAUUAAUGACUAGAAUGAAUGGUUAAAUGAGAUAAAAUCUUUUUAUUUUUUUUAAGAAAAAUAAAACUUAAAGUAAAAAUGCUUUAAUAGAUUAAAAAGACAAGAAGACCCUAUAGAGGUUUAUUAAAAAAAAUUAAAAAAUUAUUAAAUUUUACUGGGGCGGUAAGAAAAUAUUUAAAACUUUUCUUAAAAUUUUAUAAAAAGAUUUAUGAUCCUUUUGAUAACAAGAAAAAGCUACCUUAGGGAUAACAGACUAAUUUUACUUUAGAGUUCCAAUCGAAAGUAAAGUUUGGCACCUCGAUGUUGGCUUAGGAUAUAUAAAACUCGCAAAAGAGUUUAAAUAUGGUUUGUUCAACCAUUAAAUUCCUACAUGAUCUGAGUUCAAACCGGAG